GGAGGGAGUGGUGUAUGCUGGGUAAUGGCACAGCUAGCGACUGGGUGACUUUAUUCACCCGCUUCGGCUGUUAUUAGUCCAUACAAUGGGCGUUAUUAGCACAAAUCAGUCCCAUAGAUAUAGGCCAUCUCCUGCUAGAUUGUUCAGAAGGUUGUUCUCAUCCAUCCAGAUGGAGGAUCACUAACAGGAGCGUGGAAGACUCCAGAAUCCACUCUGGCUGGAAUCCGGUGGAUAUGCAGUGUGUACAGGUAAGACCAUUUAAACGGACAGCAUUUAUAGAAUGACUAUUAAAAGUCAGCUAGUGUCAAUAAUGUGGUUAUCUUAGUAAUACACAGAGUGCUAAUAUAACAGCUUUAAGAUGCAUUUGUAGAUAUUAUUACGUGUUUUACCGUCUUUAUGGUGCUAGCUUAAAGUUACGGUGUAAACGCUAGCUUAUAUUACUGGUGUCAAGCCAGCCUCCAAUUCGAGACUUGCAGUCAAGCCAGCCUCCAGUUUGUUUUACGUUCCCUGUGUAUUCAAAGUAUUACGGGAAUGGAUGUGGAAACCGGAUUUCAAAAUAAAAGCCAACUUCGAGUGAAUUAACAGAUGGUUUUUUUUGUUUUGUUUUUCUUUUCUACUUUCUUUUCUUUCUAUUUUUACUGCACUUUACAUACGUCAACAUGUCAAAUUGUUUGCAAUCUAUCUAAAAAGAAACCAAUUCAAAGCACGGACAUGGAGGACUUCCUGGAAAGUUAGCUGGGAAUUUUUUGGCUUCAAUUUCACACAUAUUUGAAGUGCUUUGAGGAAGUUGUGCAUUUACUGUCUUUUAAGUAACUCACUCUUGGGAUCCGCUUGAAUGUAUGCUAGUUUCUUUCCUAAUUAAAUCAUGAGAAUGUCACCUUGUGGCUUGGUAUUCUCAGCAAAACCAUGAAGGUAGGUGUUGUGGAAAGGACAGAGAGGAGCAGCAUUAUAAACAGUAGGUGCUGUAAUAGGUGGUGUUUGGCAGGUGAGUCAGUGGCUCCUAAUAUAGAGCCAAGUAGUAGUUGUGGGUGUUAAGUGUUGGAGGUGUGACUGGACUUUUUUUUUUUUUUUUUUGCCUGUCCCGUUUGGCUCUUUUGCCAUCAGAAUUGUCUAAAGGCAAAGAAAGAUGCCCAACGGAUUUACUUUACCAAAUUGACCAUCCCAGCCUUGCCGUAAUGGUCCAUUUGAUUCACCUUUUAUUGUUUAUUUUAUUUUUACUUGCUGAAUACGGGACAGACUUGACUGGGGGAAAGAAGGGGAGAAAGAAAGAGGGAAAGAGAAACAGCUGAGAAGAGGGACGGGGAGAAGGGCAAAAAAACAAAAACCAACAGAAUGAGCAGAAAGAAAAAAAAUUCAUCUAAUUAACAAUUAACAGGUAUGUUAAGAACAUAAUAACAUAUAAUUUAGGCUUUUUUAUUUUAUUUUACAAACUCUAAUGAACAAUCUAUAUGACACAGCCUUGUACCCUAAUUGUGCCCUGUCACUAUCAAGGCCAUCUUAUUUUG
ensembl:lncRNA